GAUUAAAUGGCUGAUAAAAGUAAUAGAUUGUAAAUCUAUAAAUAAGGAUAAGUUUCCUUUUUAAUCA
rnacentral:tRNA from 1 species